UCGAUUAGUUUGAUCAUGGCUCAGAACGAACGCUGGCGGCGUGCCUAACACAUGCAAGUCGAACGCGAAAAGGGCAACCUGAGUAGAGUGGCGCACGGGUGCGUAUCACGUGGAUAAUCUGCCCUAGAGUUUGGGAUAACCUUCCGAAAGGUUGGCUAAUACCGAAUAAGCUCACGGAGACUUCGGUCUUUGUGGGAAAAGUGGACCUCUAUUUAUAUGUUCACACUCAAGGAUGAGUCCGCGGCCCAUCAGCUAGUUGGCGGGGUAAUGGCCCACCAAGGCAACGACGGGUAGCUGGUCUGAGAGGACGAUCAGCCACACUGGAACUGAGACACGGUCCAGACUCCUACGGGAGGCAGCAGUGGGGAAUUUUCCACAAUGGGCGCAAGCCUGAUGGAGCAACGCCGCGUGUGUGAUGAAGGUUUUCGGAUCGUAAAGCACUUUCGACCGGGACGAAAAUACCGUGGCUAACAUCCACGGGACUGACGGUACCGGGAGAAGAAGCACCGGCUAACUCUGUGCCAGCAGCCGCGGUAAUACAGAGGGUGCAAGCGUUGUUCGGAAUUAUUGGGCGUAAAGCGCGUGUAGGCUGCUUGUUAAGUCAGAUGUGAAAGCCCUCGGCUCAACCGAGGAAGGGCGUCUGAAACUGGCGAGCUUGAGUACCGGAGAGGAUGGCGGAAUUCUGCAAGUAGAGGUGAAAUUCGUAGAUAUGCAGAGGAACACCGGUGGCGAAGGCGGCCAUCUGGACGGUAACUGACGCUGAGACGCGAAAGCGUGGGGAGCAAACAGGAUUAGAUACCCUGG
rnacentral:rRNA from 1 species